UACGGGGGGGGCAAGCGUUGUUCGGAAUUACUGGGCGUAAAGGGCUCGUAGGCGGCCAACUAAGUCAUACGUGAAAUCCCUCGGCUUAACCGGGGAACUGCGUCUGAUACUGGAUGGCUUGAGUUCGGGAGAGGGAUGCGGAAUUCCAGGUGUAGCGGUGAAAUGCGUAGAUAUCUGGAGGAACACCGGUGGCGAAGGCGACAUCCUGGACCGAUACUGACGCUGAGGAGCGAAAGCCAGGGGAGCAAACGGG
rnacentral:rRNA from 1 species